rnacentral:rRNA from 1 species
GUACUCGAGCGGCGAACGGGUGAGUAACACGUGGGUAACCUGCCUUCAGCUCUGGGAUAAGCCUGGGAAACUGGGUCUAAUACCGGAUAUGACACGCGACCGCAUGGUGUGUGUGUGGAAAGAUUUUUUGGCUGGAGAUGGACUCGCGGCCUAUCAGCUUGUUGGUGGGGUAGUGGCCUACCAAGGCGAUGACGGGUAGCCGGCCUGAGAGGGCGACCGGCCACACUGGGACUGAGACACGGCCCAGACUCCUACGGGAGGCAGCAGUGGGGAAUAUUGCGCAAUGGGCGAAAGCCUGACGCAGCAACGCCGCGUGAGGGAUGACGGCCUUCGGGUUGUAAACCUCUUUCAGCGCUGACGAAGCCUCUUCGGGGGUGACGGUAGGCGCAGAAGAAGCACCGGCUAACUACGUGCCAGCAGCCGCGGUAAUACGUAGGGUGCGAGCGUUGUCCGGAAUUAUUGGGCGUAAAGGGCUCGUAGGCGGUUUGUUGCGUCUGCUGUGAAAGCCCGGGGCUUAACCCCGGGUCUGCAGUGGAUACGGGCAGGCUAGAGUCCGGCAGGGGAGACUGGAAUUCCUGGUGUAGCGGUGGAAUGCGCAGAUAUCAGGAGGAACACCGGUGGCGAAGGCGGGUCUCUGGGCCGGUACUGACGCUGAGGAGCGAAAGCGUG